rnacentral:lncRNA from 1 species
UUAUUAAAAUGCCAACAGAAUUCCAGAUGAGGACACUAUUGGUACCCAGCAGAGGCGCCAGAUAUUUAGAGUUAAUAAAGAUGCUUCAGGGCGAUCAACAAACAGCCAUCAGAGCAGCACUGAAAAUGAGUUGAAAUACUCAGAGCCACGACCCUGGAGCAGCACAGAUUCAGACAGCUCCCUCCGAAACCUGAAACCCGCUGUAACCAAAGCCAGCAGCUUUAGCGGAAUCUCGGUCCUGACAAGAGGUGAUAGUUCUGGAAGCAGCAAAAGCAUAGGCAGGCUUUCAAAAACAGGUAUAAGUGUCUACUUAGAACUGUGCAGUCACAGUGUUCCUCUGCCUGAAGUCUUAGCUCCUUAUCACAUGGUUCUAAUUAUCCCACAAUACAAAGUUACCUUCAGCUCUGUAGACACCUACAGAGCAGAGGAGAGAUUGCCAUCCUGACACUAGGACUCAUUUUGACCUGGAGAUAGAAUCAUAAACUGAAGUGCAUCUCCUUGUCUGCUGCUUUGUAAACUUAAUGUGAUUAGGAGGUGACUGGACACCCUUCGAUGCUCAUUUCUGGUUGGAAAGCAUUGCUUCUCGCCUAGGAUUGCAUAAUGUUAGAUGCAUCUCAUGCUGUCGGAUAUUGGUUGCGUUUUUCAUGACUUAUCCUAUAAGAAAUGAAUAAAAUUUUGAGAAAAUUUUAAGACCAAAGAAAAAUAAUAAAACAACUACUAUAAAUAG